UCUUCUUCCAAAAAUUUCAAUCUUUCUAACAUCCCAUUAAUAUCUUCAGCCAUCGAGAAUCUUAUCUCAACAAGAAAACCACCCCCUCAGUUUACCAAAAGGCAACAAGAAAAACCCUAAAAUAAACACAAGAAAGAAAGGCAGUGAGCCGGGAUUGAGGCUAAAAUACAGCCUUACAGAGUGAGAGGAAAUCAAAGAAAACAAGUAUAGGAAAAAAACAAAAACUGUAGGAAAAUGAAAGACAAAACCACUUACAAUAAUAAAGAGAAAAAUGAAAAGAAAAAGAUAAGGCAGGUAAAACCAGGUUUAAGUAACACAAAAACAACCAAUAUUAACAGAGAUUAGUUACUCAUACAAAUUAGAAAAGAAAUCAAGCCAUCCAAAAAAUGAAAAGAAAAGAAAAACCUAAGUCUUCAACAAGAAGCCGGAAAAAACAAAACUAAAUCUUCUCCACCGUCAGCAUCCAAUUGAUAGUCACACAAACCAUCAAGCAUGCAAAGCACGUAUCUAAUUUCUCGGUAAAAGAGAGCCAAUUAAAAGAUCUGUUCUCAUGCAAAGAACGUAUGAAAGUCAACCAAAA
rnacentral:lncRNA from 1 species